AGCAGAUAGAGUUUAUUACAAAUACCACAGUAGACUUUUUGGCUAUUUUCAAGCGGAAUAAGACAGCCUGAGGCCAGCCAGUGGGACUUUCAGCUGCAAGGGGCCUUCCCCAUCUCCUUCCCCUUCAAGGUGGGCUGUCUCCCACAGUAAACCGCACAGGGGGUGUUCAUCCCUGGAUCACUAUACAGGUUCCUUGUCAUCAAGCUGAGAACAUUACUUCAUGAUUCUUAUUAAUCCAGGCUAGAAAGACGUCGAGCUCUCCCAGGGAUUUAAUGGCAGCAGCGUGGACCUCCAGCUGAAAUCAGAGAUCAAUAGUCUCUCCACAAAGAAGCAGAGCCCAUAACAGACUCCCUAACUCUUGCUCUUCAAAGCAUUGGUAUCAUUUGACAGUGUGAUCUAAAUGCAGAAACUCAGGCUCAUCCCAGCCCUGCUGAGCCAGAAUCUGCAUUUUAACAAGAUCUUGAACUGAUGCUCAUGAGAAACACUGCUUCUUCCUCUACCUCCACGUGAGAUGUGCAUUUUACACCAACAUCAACAUGAGAAGUACCAUGUCUUCAUCACUACACACAAUAUGGGGGGGCAGGUAGUGAUCGCAGUGACGGCGUGCAGACACAGAGAAUUGAGGCCUGCCCACAAUGGCUGCUUAUAGAGUGAAUGCAUGAAUUUAAGUGGAGAGGAGGCUGAAGGCCUGGCACCCUCCUGAUCUACCUCUCAUCUUCCAUCUUCC
rnacentral:lncRNA from 1 species